GGCACAUUUGGGUAGAUUGUGCAGCUCAGCCCUCACUGAGAAGCUGACACAGGAGGAAAGAAAGACCUGAGGGGGGUGAGGGGAGAGUCCUGUGGAGAUCUAGGGAUCGAAGUAGCAAUGAGAGAUUUUUCCUCGGAAAUUAGUUACUGACAAAUAGUAAUGUGUGUUGUUUGGCAGGUAUGAAUUGGUCAGAAUUAAGGCCAGAACUACCCAAAUGGUUCACACAGUUAGGGCAUGGUUUAAGACCUUUGACACUGAACAAAUUGAAGCUAUAACACACAUAGUAAUUUGUAUACUUCUAUAAAAUGGAUCUUUUGGAUAUGUGUGUAAACAGCUCCUUGCAAUAGCCUCUCACUUAAGUGGUUCAGUCCAGUUUUGUAAGUUGUAUUUUGCUACUUGAGUAACGAUGCUGUACAAAAUCCCAACUAUUGCUUGAACCUAGUGCCAGGAAACUCAACUGUCACUAGAAUCAAUGAGCCACAAGUGGGAAAACAUUUCUCUAUCUGUGGAUGUGGGGCUAACAGGUUACCUAUUUCAUUAACUUCAGGGACAAGAGCUUAAGUGAGCAGAAAAGGCUGAUCAGUAUAUUUAACCACAAGCCUGAAUCCCAGCACAUUGCAGGAUGAAGUCACUACAUGGUCACAGUUGGUGACAUCACAAUGGGGUUUGCCCUAUAAAGUCCAGACCAUCUUCAGGCUUAGGCUUCUUCCUCCUAAGGGUCACAGUUUUAUAAGACUGGUUUACAGCUAGUGCUGCCCUGCAGUGGUGCGGACCCAGACUUCAUGCACAAAGAUCAGGCUGUGAUUUCACGCAUCUGAUAGAUAAAUGAAGAAUUCAGAACCUGACCAUAAGUUCAAGACAAGCUGCAAAAAAAGGAAGAAAAAUUCAAAGACCUUGGAACAGAAUUCCACCACUGUCAAACCCAGAAACAUGGACCCACAGGUUGAUCACAAAUUCCAGGACCUCCUUCACCACAUCCAAAGGCAAGUGGAGAGCCAUCCCCAUCACAAUCUCUACCAGCACCACCUCUACCCAGAGGAGUUUUCUCUCCUCUUCCAACUCCUUCACCUGUACUAAAUGAUAAACCAUCACCACCAUCACCAUCACUUUCAAUGGGGGAUGACCUGCACUGGGAUUAUUGCCUACUCUUAACAAUGAAGCAGAAAUAAAAUGUAUGCACCUGAA